rnacentral:rRNA from 1 species
GAUGAACGCUGGCGGCGUGCCUAAUACAUGCAAGUCGAGCGAACGGACGAGAAGCUUGCUUCUCUGAUGUUAGCGGCGGACGGGUGAGUAACACGUGGAUAACCUACCUAUAAGACUGGGAUAACUUCGGGAAACCGGAGCUAAUACCGGAUAAUAUUUUGAUCUGCAUGGUUCAAAAGUAAAAGACGGUCUUGCUGUCACUUAUAGAUGGAUCCGCGCUGCAUUAGCUAGUUGGUAAGGUAACGGCUUACCAAGGCAACGAUGCAUAGCCGACCUGAGAGGGUGAUCGGCCACACUGGAACUGAGACACGGUCCAGACUCCUACGGGAGGCAGCAGUAGGGAAUCUUCCGCAAUGGGCGAAAGCCUGACGGAGCAACGCCGCGUGAGUGAUGAAGGUCUUCGGAUCGUAAAACUCUGUUAUUAGGGAAGAACAUAUGUGUAAGUAACUGUGCACAUCUUGACGGUACCUAAUCAGAAAGCCACGGCUAACUACGUGCCAGCAGCCGCGGUAAUACGUAGGUGGCAAGCGUUAUCCGGAAUUAUUGGGCGUAAAGCGCGCGUAGGCGGUUUUUUAAGUCUGAUGUGAAAGCCCACGGCUCAACCGUGGAGGGUCAUUGGAAACUGGAAAACUUGAGUGCAGAAGAGGAAAGUGGAAUUCCAUGUGUAGCGGUGAAAUGCGCAGAGAUAUGGAGGAACACCAGUGGCGAAGGCGACUUUCUGGUCUGUAACUGACGCUGAUGUGCGAAAGCGUGGGGAUCAAACAGGAUUAGAUACCCUGGUAGUCCACGCCGUAAACGAUGAGUGCUAAGUGUUAGGGGGUUUCCGCCCCUUAGUGCUGCAGCUAACGCAUUAAGCACUCCGCCUGGGGAGUACGACCGCAAGGUUGAAACUCAAAGGAAUUGACGGGGACCCGCACAAGCGGUGGAGCAUGUGGUUUAAUUCGAAGCAACGCGAAGAACCUUACCAAAUCUUGACAUCCUUUGACAACUCUAGAGAUAGAGCCUUCCCCUUCGGGGGACAAAGUGACAGGUGGUGCAUGGUUGUCGUCAGCUCGUGUCGUGAGAUGUUGGGUUAAGUCCCGCAACGAGCGCAACCCUUAAGCUUAGUUGCCAUCAUUAAGUUGGGCACUCUAAGUUGACUGCCGGUGACAAACCGGAGGAAGGUGGGGAUGACGUCAAAUCAUCAUGCCCCUUAUGAUUUGGGCUACACACGUGCUACAAUGGACAAUACAAAGGGCAGCAAAACCGCGAGGUCAAGCAAAUCCCAUAAAGUUGUUCUCAGUUCGGAUUGUAGUCUGCAACUCGACUACAUGAAGCUGGAAUCGCUAGUAAUCGUAGAUCAGCAUGCUACGGUGAAUACGUUCCCGGGUCU